AACUAAGCAUAUCAAUAAGCGGAGGAAAAGAAACCAACAGGGAUUGCCCUAGUAACGGCGAGUGAAGCGGCAACAGCUCAAAUUUGAAAUCUGGCUCUUUUAGGGUCCGAGUUGUAAUUUGCAGAGGGCGCUUUGGCUUUGGCAGCGGUCCAAGUUCCUUGGAACAGGACGUCACAGAGGGUGAGAAUCCCGUACGUGGUCGCUAGCUAUCGCCGUGUAAAGCCCCUUCGACGAGUCGAGUUGUUUGGGAAUGCAGCUCUAAAUGGGAGGUAAAUUUCUUCUAAAGCUAAAUAUUGGCCAGAGACCGAUAGCGCACAAGUAGAGUGAUCGAAAGAUGAAAAGCACUUUGGAAAGAGAGUCAAACAGCACGUGAAAUUGUUGAAAGGGAAGCGCUUGCAGCCAGACUUGCUUGCAGUUGCUCAUCCGGGCUUUUGCCCGGUGCACUCUUCUGUAGGCAGGCCAGCAUCAGUUUGGGCGGUGGGAUAAAGGUCUCUGUCACGUACCUCUCUUCGGGGAGGCCUUAUAGGGGAGACGACAUACCACCAGCCUAGACUGAGGUCCGCGCAUCUGCUAGGAUGCUGGCGUAAUGGCUGUAAGCGGCCCGUCUUGAAACACGGACCAAGGAGUCUAACAUCUAUGCGAGUGUUUGGGUGUCAAGCCCGAGCGCGUAAUGAAAGUGAACGGAGGUGGGAACCCGCAAGGGUGCACCAUCGACCGAUCCUGAAGUUUUCGGAAGGAUUUGAGUAAGAGCAUGGCUGUUGGGACCCGAAAGAUGGUGAACUAUGCUUGAAUAGGGUGAAGCCAGAGGAAACUCUGGUGGAGGCUCGCAGCGGUUCUGACGUGCAAAUCGAUCGUCAAAUUUGGGCAUAGGGGCGAAAGACUAAUC
rnacentral:rRNA from 1 species